CAACCACAAUGGCUGCAAAUCCCAGGGUAAACAGAGUUUCCCUACUUGGUUGUAGGAGUAAAAGGAAUAACGUCUUCUUCUGGCUCUGCUACUUGCUUACAGUGGGAAAUGUGGAUCCAGGUGUCUUUCCCUAAGCACUUUACCGCCGUUGGGGUGAUGAGGGCAAUCUGAUGUGGUCCUUUCCACAUGGGUUUCAAAGGUUCUUUACUUCUGUCGUGCCUCCUGACCACUACCCAAUCUCCAGGCUGGAGAUGGUGAUGGGGACGGUCGUCUGGGGGAGUUUGGGCAGCAGAGACCUGUGAGUGAACAGCUCGAAUACAGUUAGUCAGAGCUAUACAGUACUUCAUCAUAGUGUCAUCUGACAGAUGCAGAUCCGGGACUACAACUGGUGGUGAUGCAGGGGUCCUCAUGGGACGGGUGAUCAGUACCUCAUGUGGACUGUGUCCAGUUUUCCAGACUGGCGUGGAAUUCAUUGAAAACAAGGCUAUGGGUAGCACAUCCACCCAGGCAGGCAUGUGAGCAAUAUCAAUUUGCAGGGCCCCAGAGGACUGGUAGGCUUGACAAAGAGGUUGGUACUUGCUUUCCUGCAUUGUGUUCUUGACAAAUUAGACAUUGGGGACAGGUUUGUGCAGUGAUCGUGGUAAAUUUGGAUGCGCACCAUUCUUCUCUACAAGCACUUUCCAUUACAAGCACUUACCAUUCCCCCUUUGGACACAACUCACACCGUGAUUCAUGCAUCCAAAAAAACAAACACUGCCAGUGAAAUAAAAAUAAACUAAUUAGAAUAGGAAAGAAACAUUGGAAUGACAACCCUUGAUAACUCUAUAAGGAAACAAUUGUAUCUAUGGGGUUAUGAUGUUAGGGACAAUAUAGGAUGAAUCACAAUAAAUGUUUGCUAAAAUAGUAAUUGCUUGCCAAAAAUGUACUCUUUGUAAUGGCAAUCCUGGGUAUAGGUAACAAUCUUGGGUAUAGGUAACAAUCCUGGGUAUAUGUAACAAUCCUGGGUAUAGGUAACAAUCCUGGGUAUAGGUAACAAUACUGGGUAUAGGUAACAAUCCUGGGUAUAGGUAACAAUACUGGGUAUAGGUAACAAUCCUGGGUAUAGGUAACAAUCCUGGGUAUAGGUAACAAUACUGGGUAUAGGUAACAAUCCUGGUUAUAGGUAACAAUACUGGGUAUAGGUAGCAAUCCUGGGUAUAGGUAACAAUCCUGGGUAUAGGUAACAAUACUGGGUAUAGGUAACAAGUCUAAUUUGUCUAUUUCUAUGUUUUUAUUUUUGGGGUUGAUCUCCAAUUGGAGGCAGUUGGGGUUUUUUCUAUUGUGUUUUGUGGGUAGUUGUUUUCUGUUUUGUUGUCUGUUGCCUGACGGAACUGUUUGCUGUCG
rnacentral:lncRNA from 1 species